rnacentral:rRNA from 1 species
CCUACGGGAGGCAGCAGUGAGGAAUAUUGGUCAAUGGACGAGAGUCUGAACCAGCCAAGUAGCGUGAAGGAUGACUGCCCUAUGGGUUGUAAACUUCUUUUAUAUGGGAAUAAAACGUUCCACGUGUGGGAUUUUGUAUGUACCAUAUGAAUAAGGAUCGGCUAACUCCGUGCCAGCAGCCGCGGUAAUACGGAGGAUCCGAGCGUUAUCCGGAUUUAUUGGGUUUAAAGGGAGCGUAGGUGGUUUGUUAAGUCAGUUGUGAAAGUUUGCGGCUCAACCGUAAAAUUGCAGUUGAAACUGGCAGUCUUGAGUACAGUAGAGGUGGGCGGAAUGCGUGGUGUAGCGGUGAAAUGCUUAGAUAUCACGAAGAACUCCGAUUGCGAAGGCAGUUCACUGGACUGCAACUGACACUGAGGCUCGAAAGUGUGGGUAUCAAACAGGAUUAGAUACCCUAGUAGUC